GACGAACGCUCUCGGCGUGCUUAACACAUGCAAGUCGAACGGAAAGGCCCUGCUUUUGUGGGGUGCUCGAGUGGCGAACGGGUGAGUAACACGUGAGUAACCUGCCCUUGACUUUGGGAUAACUUCAGGAAACUGGGGCUAAUACCGGAUAGGAGCUCCUGCUGCAUGGUGGGGGUUGGAAAGUUUCGGCGGUUGGGGAUGGACUCGCGGCUUAUCAGCUUGUUGGUGGGGUAGUGGCUUACCAAGGCUUUGACGGGUAGCCGGCCUGAGAGGGUGACCGGCCACAUUGGGACUGAGAUACGGCCCAGACUCCUACGGGAGGCAGCAGUGGGGAAUAUUGCACAAUGGGCGGAAGCCUGAUGCAGCAACGCCGCGUGCGGGAUGACGGCCUUCGGGUUGUAAACCGCUUUCGCCUGUGACGAAGCGUGAGUGACGGUAAUGGGUAAAGAAGCACCGGCUAACUACGUGCCAGCAGCCGCGGUGAUACGUAGGGUGCGAGCGUUGUCCGGAUUUAUUGGGCGUAAAGGGCUCGUAGGUGGUUGAUCGCGUCGGAAGUGUAAUCUUGGGGCUUAACCCUGAGCGUGCUUUCGAUACGGGUUGACUUGAGGAAGGUAGGGGAGAAUGGAAUUCCUGGUGGAGCGGUGGAAUGCGCAGAUAUCAGGAGGAACACCAGUGGCGAAGGCGGUUCUCUGGGCCUUUCCUGACGCUGAGGAGCGAAAGCGUGGGGAGCGAACAGGCUUAGAUACCCUGGUAGUCCACGCUGUAAACGGUGGGUACUAGGUGUGGGGUCCAUUCCACGGGUUCCGUGCCGUAGCUAACGCUUUAAGUACCCCGCCUGGGGAGUACGGCCGCAAGGCUAAAACUCAAAGGAAUUGACGGGGCCCCGCACAAGCGGCGGAGCAUGCGGAUUAAUUCGAUGCAACGCGUAGAACCUUACCUGGGUUUGACAUGGAUCGGGAGUGCUCAGAGAUGGGUGUGCCUCUUUUGGGGUCGGUUCACAGGUGGUGCAUGCCUGUCGUCAGCUCGUGUCGUGAGAUGUUGGGUUAAGUCCCGCAACGAGCGCAACCCUUGUUCACUGUUGCCAGCACGUUAUGGUGGGGACUCAGUGGAGACCGCCGGGGUCAACUCGGAGGAAGGUGGGGACGACGUCAAGUCAUCAUGCCCCUUAUGUCCAGGGCUUCACGCAUGCUACAAUGGCUGGUACAGAGAGUGGCGAGCCUGUGAGGGUGAGCGAAUCUCGGAAAGCCGGUCUCAGUUCGGAUUGGGGUCUGCAACUCGACCUCAUGAAGUCGGAGUCGCUAGUAAUCGCAGAUCAGCAACGCUGCGGUGAAUACGUUCCCGGGGCU
rnacentral:rRNA from 1 species